GUGCUGUGACACACGGGGACACGUGGUGGUCCAAGGCACAUUGAAGACUCCCCUGACACACCUGUUGCAAACCAGCUAGUCCCCACUCAGGCUCCUUGGGUGCAACCCCAGCAUUCCUACCUACCUCCAUGGGACAAGAGAAACCAGAAGAGGCAUUUAAUGGUGGCCUCUGGCCACUGUUUCAGGGAGCCAAGAGCAGUCAUAAGGUCUGGUCCAUGUCUGGUCACUUCUGAGUCAUCAGUACCAUCCAGUUGGUGUGUUCCAUCGAUGUCACAUCUGGAAGACUAAGGGCUGACAUUUCCUUAGAGAUGGGACCCCCCCACCCCAGCAGUGGCCAUGAAGUUCCAGACAGUGGGGGAGGGAGGAGGGAAGCUGGGAAAAGGGUUGGUAAGAGGGAAGACAGCCAAGGUGUUUUGAGUGGCCCCAACUCCUGUGUGUGUCUAGCUUAGCCUCCUCUCUUUCCCUUUGGCUCCAGACCCAGCCAAACUGUGUGAACAAAUGGUGCUGUUGGGCCAGGGGCCAAGACGGAAUCUCCUCAGACAGACUAGCCAAAGGGUCUGUCCACUGACUUGCCAGGUCUGCAGGGAGCCGGGGGAGGGACAGGCUAGGGCAGCCCCAGCUCUGGGGGAGCGGUGGGCACUGAGGACAGGAAAGCCAGACCUGCCUAGCCUUUGAAGGGCCAGCCUUCCUGAGGACACUUUAAAUCGCCCCCUAUUAAGUCAUUGCCGGAAGCUUCUAACAGCUCUAUGGACCUUUUAAGGACUGUCCUUUUGUUAGGCAGUCAAGCUGUUAUGCAGAGAGAGAGAGAGAGAGAGAGAGAGAGAGAGAGAGAGAGAGCAAGCUGGCCAGGGCCUCUCACUACUUUCCCUGGGCCCCAAGGCCAGUAGUCUCCAACUCAUGAUACACCCUCCUACAGUGCUUGUUUGGGAAUCAGAGACUAGGGAGUCUGUUUUGAUCUGGGGCAGUCCAGACCUUCUCUGCCUCUUUAGAUAAAGCAUGCACACACACUACCCCCUUCCAGAAGGUUCGUGCCUUGGAGAUCUGCAUGGCUGCUCUUUCCAAUGGGAUCUCUAUAGUUAGGGGAAGUGGGAUUUCCAGAAGUGGCCAGAGUUUCUAUUGCUCUCCCUGUUCCCACAUAUCCCCACCAGUUGAGCCUGCUCUAGAGUCUUCUGGUAGAGCCCUUAGGUAGUUGUUUUCUGGAAGUUCUGAGAAAAUCAAGAUUCAUCCCUUCCUUGGGAACAGGAACUCUGACAGUCUCCAGGGAAGGGCUGGGAAGUGCCUGUGUUCCUGUCAUUCCUUCCUCAGGGUUCCUUCAUUGCCCCAAAGCAAAAGCAAAUGUAGAUAUGAUAAUAGCUGACUUAGACUGUGGGCCACAGUCUCUUGGCUUUUCAAGUUACUGCAGCAUGUGUAGACUUUAAAACAAGAACCCCUCUCAGUAAACUGGAGUUCCUAAGAGGACAACAAAUGGCAAGUUUCCAUUUGGUCAUUUGGCUUAACAUCAAAACCCUUCAUCCUUGGUGGGCACAUCUGCUCCCUUAUUUUGUCCCCAGGGAAGCCUGAAGGACAUUGUUGAGUAAAGGCCUCUCCACUUGAUAGAAAAGAAACUGCAUGAAGCCUUGGAAGGUUUAUAGAACUAGCCUGAGUCAGUGGCAAGUUAGGAGGGAGUUUCAGGAAAUUUCCUUCAAAGCUACCCUCCUCUCAGGUCACAUAGAGCUGUCACAGACAGCUGUGAUGUGGGUGCAUUGCCCAGGGCACCUUAUUCCCCUCGUGGCUUGUAGGCUGGUGGUAAGUUCUUCAUUGGCUGGAGGGAGCUAUCUGAAGGCUUUGAAGGAAUUCCUCUUUUCCUAAGGCCAGUUUGAGCUUUUAUCUCUUGUGAGUGGAGGUGGGACUUACCAAAUGAACCUUCACAGCUCCUGGCCUGGAACUGCUGCUUUUCCUUGCAUCAUUUAGCACAGCUCCAGGGAGGUGUGAGAUGAUUCAGGACUUGUGUGGGAUCACACUGCUAGUCAAUGGAGAGGUCCAGACACCAUCCUAAUCUCUUGGGCCCUAAACUGGCCAUUGUCAGACCUGGUGAGAUGGCUCAGUAGUUAAGAGCACCUAGCCCUAGGUCUCACACUGGACAGCUUAAGACCAUAUGUUACUUCAGCAACAGAGGGUCAAAUCUCUCUGACCUCCUCAGGCACACACACACACUGACACACCACUCACACACACACAUACUCAUACACACCACUCACACACACACAUACUCAUACAC